rnacentral:snRNA from 10 species
AUGCUUGCUUCAGCAGCACAUAUACUAAAAUUAGAACAAUACAGAGAAAAUUAGCAUGGACCCUGCACGACGAUUGCAUGCAAAUUCGUGAAGCAUUCCAUAUUUUU